rnacentral:rRNA from 1 species
GACGAACGCUGGCGGCGUGCUUAACACAUGCAAGUCGAACGGAAAGGCCCUGCUUUUGUGGGGUGCUCGAGUGGCGAACGGGUGAGUAACACGUGAGUAACCUGCCCUUGACUUUGGGAUAACUUCAGGAAACUGGGGCUAAUACCGGAUAGGAGCUCCUGCUGCAUGGGGGGGGUUGGAAAGUUUCGGCGGUUGGGGAUGGACUCGCGGCUUAUCAGCUUGUUUGGGGGGUAGUGGCUUACCAAGGCUUUGACGGGUAGCCGGCCUGAGAGGGUGACCGGCGACAUUGGGACUGAGAUACGGCCCAGUCUCCUACGGGAGGCAGCAGGGGGGAAUAUUGCACAAUGGGCGGAAGCCUGAUGCAGCAACGCCGCGUGCGGGAUGCCGGCCUUCGGGUUGUAAACCGCUUUCGCCUGUGACGAAGCGUGAGUGACGGUAAUGGGUAAAGAAGCACCGGCUAACUACGUG